CUGCAGAUGCAAGAAGAAGGCAUCCUUGCGCUUUCUGUCUGUCUGACUAUGGCAGCCCAGAUUGAAUGGAGGAAUACAGGG
rnacentral:snoRNA from 1 species